rnacentral:rRNA from 1 species
GUGAGGAAUUUUCCGCAAUGGGCGAAAGCCUGACGGAGCAAUGCCGCGUGAAGGAUGAAGGCCUAUGGGUUGUAAACUUCUUUUCUUAGAGAAGAAUAUUGACGGUAUCUGAGGAAUAAGCAUCGGCUAACUCUGUGCCAGCAGCCGCGGUAAGACAGAGGAUGCAAGCGUUAUCCGGAAUUAUUGGGCGUAAAGCGGGUGCAGGUGGCUUGGUAAGUCAGAUGUGAAAGCCUGGGGCUUAACCCCAGAAGUGCAUUUGACACUGCUGAGCUUGAGUGCUGGAGAGGCUAUUAGAAUUCCUGGUGUAGUGGUGAAAUACGUAGAUAUCAGGAGGAAUACCGGAGGCGAAGGCGGAUAGCUGGCCAGACACUGACACUCAGACCCGAAAGCGUGGGGAUCAAACAGGAUUAGAAACCCCGGUAGUCC